AUAUUGGACAAUGGGGGCAACCCUGAUCCAGCCAUGCCGCGUGUGUGAAGAAUGUCUUCGGAUUGUAAAGCACUUUAAGUUGUUAGGAAUGUCUUUCGGUUAAUACCCUGAAGUUUUGACGUUACCAACAGAAUAAGCACCGGCUCACUCUGUUCCAGCAGCCGAGGUAAUACAGAGGGUGCAAGCGUUAAUCGGACUUACUGGGCGUAAAGCGCGCGUAGGUGGUUCAGUAAGAUGGGUGUGAAAUCCCCGGGCUUAACCUGGGAACUGCUUUCAUAACUGCUGAGCUAGAGUACGGUAGAGGGUAGUGGAAUUUCCUGUGUAGCGGUGAAAUGCGUAGAUAUAGGAAGGAACACCAGUGGCGAAGGCGACUACCUGGACUGAUACUGACACUGAGGUGCGAAAGCGUGGGGAGCAAAC
rnacentral:rRNA from 1 species